UGCAUGCUUGGGGGCCCCGGAGGAGAUGGAGGGCCGGUGCCAGUGUACGGCUCAACAUUACCUGGUAACGGAGAGACCAGAGAGCGAAUGGAGGCCAUGGAGAAGCAGAUAGCCAGUUUAACCGGACUGGUUCAGAGUGUUUUGACCCGAGGACCAGACAGCCCUGAGAAAGCAGAAACAGCGAGUGACUGUUCUGCACCGGAGAUGUCAUCGCCGUCUGCUCCUCUGGCCCUGAUGCCGCCUCCUCCCACUGCAGCCUCUCAGCCAAUAGCAAUGUCC